rfam:Lactobacillus sakei strain 23K complete genome.
CCACAGCUGCAACCGCGCAUACUAAGGCAUUAAGUACUAUUAUUAGUCACCUUAGUUGGCGAGUCUAAGAAAAAAU